CCCGGGCCUUGUACACACCGCCGUCACACCACGAAAGUUGGCAAUACCCGAAGCCGGUGGGCUAACCCGCAAGGGAGGCAGCCGUCGAAGGUAGGGUUGAUGAUUGGGGUG
rnacentral:rRNA from 1 species